CCCCCUAAUACUACACCAGAGAACUAGUGAUGGCAUGCUUUAUCUGCCUUAAUUAAACAAGUAACGUCUUCUUACUUAAACAAUACCAUGUAAUCACUGCAUGUUUAUGGGGAGAGAAUUUCUAAGACUGUGAUCUAUCUCCAUAUCGUCUUCCUGGUUUUUUUUUUCCCCUGGUUAUUUAAAAGACUACAUUUCCCAGAAGUCUCCACUAACAAUGUCCCCAAAGCAAGAGAGCUCUUCCACCCACACUACUCCCAUCUGGAAUGGUGUCAGUCAGUAAAGAAUUCUCCUGAGCCUCAGAAAGCAGCCUGGGCUUCAGCCAGCAAACUCUGAAACUGGGAACCAGCACGAGAAAUCUUCCAAACAACCCUUUCCGCUCUGCCUCGAGAUCCAGGAGAGGAGGCAUCUGAUGCUCAGUAUGUGUGGGGGAAUCAUUUUUCUUUUCAGAUCCUUCUCCAUUUUCUCACAGUUCCGUUCUCAGGCAACGCUGCAGUGGCUGUUGGAACAGCAGGAAAUGGCAGGUGGAAGAGGAGUUACUCCAUCGGAGUAGGUGUGGUCCUGAAGGAGGCGAACACCUGCUGGCUUUUGCCCCUUGAUGGUCCCACCCUUAGCUCCAGGGAAUAAAGACAAAAGGCACAGGAAGUCAGUAUUCUGCUAGCAGCCUUCAGAUGAAGAUAUAGAACUCUCAGCUCCUCCUGCACUAUGGCGGCCUGGAUGCUGCCACACUCCCACCUUGAUGAUAAUGGAAUGAACCUCUGAGCCUGUAAGCCAGCCCCAAUUAAAUGUUGUCCUUAUAA